rnacentral:rRNA from 1 species
CGAAGGGUGCUAGCGUUGUUCGGAAUCACUGGGCGUAAAGCGCGCGUAGGCGGCGCAGCAAGUCAGGGGUGAAAUCCCAGAGCUUAACUCUGGAAUUGCCUUUGAAACUGCUGCGCUGGAGUGUCGGAGGGGAUGGCGGAAUUGCUAAUGUAGAGGUGAAAUUCGUAGAUAUUAGCAGGAACACCGGUGGCGAAGGCGGCCAUCUGGACGACAACUGACGCUGAGGCGCGAAAGCGUGGGGAUCAAACAGGAUUAGAUACCCUGGUAGUCCACGCUGUAAACGAUGGGUGCUAGCUGUUCGGGGGUUACCCUCGAGUGGCGCAGCUAACGCGUUAAGCACCCCGCCUGGGGAGUACGGUCGCAAGAUUA